UACGAAGGGGGCUAGCGUUGCUCGGAAUCACUGGGCGUAAAGCGCACGUAGGCGGACUUUUAAGUCGGAGGUGAAAUCCUGGAGCUCAACUCCAGAACUGCCUUCGAUACUGAGAGUCUUCGAGUUCGGGAGAGGUGAGUGGAAUUUCUAGUGUAGGAGUGAAAUCCGUAGAUAUUAGAAGGAACAUCAAUGGCGAAGGCAGCUCACUGGGUCACAUCUGACACUGAGGCACGAAAGCGUGGGUAGCAAACAGG
rnacentral:rRNA from 1 species